AUGAAUAUUGAGUAUGAUGCACUCAUAAAAAAUCAAACGUGGCACUUAGUUCCUUACAAGCAAGGGAGGAAUGUUAUAGAUUGCAAAUGGGUUUAUAAAAUCAAGAAAAGACCUGAUGGCACAAUAGAGAGAUACAAAGCUAGGUUGGUAGCCAAAGGCUUUAAACAACGAUACAACAUUGAUUAUGAGGACACUUUUAGUCCAGUUGUUAAAGCUGCUACUAUCAGACUUGUUUUGUCUGUUGCUGUCUCCAGGGGAUGGAAUCUUCGCCAAUUGGAUGUACAAAAUGCGUUCUUACACGGCGUUCUCGAAGAGGAAGUCUAUAUGAAACAACCACCUGGGUUUGAAGAUGGUUCAAAACCAAAUCAUGUGUGCAAACUGGACAAAGCUCUGUAUGAUCUUAAACAAGCCCCCAGAGCUUGGUAUUCAAGGCUAAGUGCAAAGCUGCAACAACUUGGGUUUCGAGCUUCCAAGGGAGAUACUUCCUUGUUCUUCUUUAAAAAAGGAAAGGUGAUGAUAUGCAUGUUAAUUUAUGCUGAUGACAUAAUUGUUGCUAGUUCAUCUCAAGAGGCCACCUCAGCAUUGCUAAAACAGUUAAAACAUGAGUUUGCUCUUAAGGAUCUAGGAGAGUUACAUUACUUCCUAGGUAUUGAGGUUAAAAAGGUACAUGAUGGUAUAGUGUUGACUCAAGAAAAGUAUGCCAGAGAUGUAAUCAAGCGUGUAGGUAUGAAAGGCUGCAAACCCUCUAACACACCCAUGUCUACAACUGAUAAGUUGUCUUUGCAUGAAGGAGUGUUAUUGAGUCCAGAGGAAGGGACAAAAUACAGAAGUGUGGUUGGUGCACUCCAGUAUUUAACUUUAACAAGACCAGAUAUUUCCUUCUCUGUUAAUAAGGUUUAUCAGUUUCUACAUGCUCCUACCACAGUACAUUGGACAGCUGUAAAGAGAAUUUUGAGGUAUCUUCAAGGAAGUGUUGAAACAGGACUAAAAUUGUGUAAGUCCUCCUCAACAGCAGUAAGUGCUUUUUCAGAUGCAGAUUGGGCCGGAUGCCCUGAUGAUAGGCAGUCUACUGGCGGCUUUGCUAUCUUCCUUGGCUCAAACCUCAUAUCCUGGAAUGCAAAGAAGCAAUCAACUGUGUCUCGGUCAAGUACAGAAGCUGAAUAUAAAUCUCUGGCAAAUGCAACUGCUGAGGUAAUGUGGAUAGAAACACUACUCAAUGAAUUGGGUAUUGGGAGAUCACAUGUUUCACAACUAUGGUGUGACAAUCUUGGAGCAACUUAUCUUUUCGCAAAUCCUGUAUUCCAUGCAAGAACAAAGCAUAUAGAAAUUGACUAUCACUUUGUUCGAGAAAGAGUUGCACAAAAGUUGUUGGAAGUACGGUUCAUUCCAACUGGAGAUCAAGUUGCUGAUGGCUUCAAAAAACCCUUGCAAGCUCGACAACUUCAAGCCUUCAAGAACAAUCUAAACCUUCACAUAUUGAGAUUGAGGGAGGAUGUUAGAUGA
rnacentral:rRNA from 1 species